rnacentral:rRNA from 1 species
GACGAACGCUGGCGGCGUGCUUAACACAUGCAAGUCGAACGGUAAGGCCCUUCGGGGUACACGAGUGGCGAACGGGUGAGUAACACGUGGGUGAUCUGCCCUGCACUUCGGGAUAAGCCUGGGAAACUGGGUCUAAUACCGGAUAGGACUCCGGACUGCAUGGUCUGGGGUGGAAAGCUUUGGCGGUGUGGGAUGGGCCCGCGGCCUAUCAGCUUGCUGGUGGGGUGAUGGCCUACCAAGGCGACGCCGGGUAGCCGGCCUGAGAGGGUGACCGGCUAGACUGGGACUGAGAUACGGCCCAGACUCCUACGGGAGGCAGCAGUGGGGAAUAUUGAACAAUGGGCGCAAGCCUGAUGCAGCGACGCCGCGUGAGGGAUGACGGACUUCGGGUUGUAAACCUCUUUCAGCAUCGACGAAGCGAAAGUGACGGUAGGUGCAGAAGAAGGACCGGCCAACUACGAGCCAGCAGCCGCGGUAA